UACGGAGGGGGCUAGCGUUGUUCGGAAAUACUGGGCGUAAAGCGAACGUAGGCGGCUUGGCAAGUCAGGGGUGAAAUCCCGGAGCUCAACUCCGGAACUGCCUUUGAAACUGCUUAGCUUGAAUCCUGGAGAGGCGAGUGGAAUUCCGAGUGUAGAGGUGAAAUUCGUAGAUAUUCGGAAGAACACCAGUGGCGAAGGCGACUCGCUGGACAGGUAUUGACGCUGAGGUUCGAAAGCGUGGGGAGCAAACAGG
rnacentral:rRNA from 1 species